UGUCACGUCAGUACGGUAGAAGCCCAGCUUGCUGGGUGGAUCAGUGGCGAACGGGUGAGUAACACGUGAGCAACCUGCCCUCCACUUCGGGAUAAGCCUUGGAAACGAGGUCUAAUACCGAAUAUGAGCAUCUGCCGCAUGGUGGGUGUUGGAAAGUUUUUCGGUGGGGGAUGGGCUCGCGGCCUAUCAGCUUGUUGGUGGGGUGAUGGCCUACCAAGGCGUCGACGGGUAGCCGGCCUGAGAGGGCGACCGGCCACACUGGGACUGAGACACGGCCCAGACUCCUACGGGAGGCAGCAGUGGGGAAUAUUGCACAAUGGGCGAAAGCCUGAUGCAGCGACGCCGCGUGAGGGAUGACGGCCUUCGGGUUGUAAACCUCUUUCAGCAGGGAAGAAGGCCUUCGGGUGGACGGUACCUGCAGAAGAAGCGCCGGCUAACUACGUGCCAGCAGCCGCGGUAAUACGUAGGGCGCAAGCGUUGUCCGGAAUUAUUGGGCGUAAAGAGCUCGUAGGCGGUUUGUCGCGUCUGGUGUGAAAACCCGAGGCUCAACCUCGGGCUUGCAUCGGGUACGGGCAGACUAGAGUGCGGUAGGGGAGACUGGAAUUCCUGGUGUAGCGGUGGAAUGCGCAGAUAUCAGGAGGAACACCGAUGGCGAAGGCAGGUCUCUGGGCCGCAACUGACGCUGAGGAGCGAAAGCAUGGGGAGCGAACAGGAUUAGAUACCCUGGUAGUCCAUGCCGUAAACGUUGGGCACUAGGUGUGGGGCUCAUUCCACGAGUUCCGUGCCGCAGCUAACGCAUUAAGUGCCCCGCCUGGGGAGUACGGCCGCAAGGCUAAAACUCAAAGGAAUUGACGGGGGCCCGCACAAGCGGCGGAGCAUGCGGAUUAAUUCGAUGCAACGCGAAGAACCUUACCAAGGCUUGACAUGCACCGGACGCUGCCAGAGAUGGUGGUUCCGCAAGGUCGGUGCACAG
rnacentral:rRNA from 1 species